rnacentral:sRNA from 1 species
GGGAGGUAAAUUUCUUCUAAAGCUAAAUACUGGCCAGAGACCGAUAGCGCACAAGUAGAGUGAUCGAAAGAUGAAAAGCACUUUGGAAAGAGAGUCAAAAAGCACGUGAAAUUGUUGAAAGGGAAGCGCUUGCAGCCAGACUUGCCUGCGGUUGCUCAUCCGGGCUCUCGCCCGGUGCACUCUUCCGUAGGCAGGCCAGCAUCAGUUUGGGCGGCUGGAUAAAGGCCUCUGUCAUGUACCUUCCCUCGGGAAGGCCUUAUAGGGGAGGCGUAAUGCAGCCAGCCUGGACUGAGGUCCGCGCAUUUGCUAGGAUGCUGGCGUAAUGGCUGUAAGCGGCCCGUCUUGAAACACGGAC